GUACACGAGCGGCGAACGGGUGAGUAACACGUGAGCAACCUGCCCCUGACUCUGGGAUAAGCGGUGGAAACGCCGUCUAAUACCGGAUACGACACACGGCCUCAUGGCGGUGUGUGGAAAGUUUUUCGGUCAGGGAUGGGCUCGCGGCCUAUCAGCUUGUUGGUGGGGUAACGGCCUACCAAGGCGAUUACGGGUAGCCGGCCUGAGAGGGCGACCGGCCACACUGGGACUGAGACACGGCCCAGACUCCUGCGGGAGGCAGCAGUGGGGAAUAUUGCGCAAUGGGCGAAAGCCUGACGCAGCGACGCCGCGUGGGGGAUGACGGCCUUCGGGUUGUAAACCUCUUUUACCACCAACGCAGGCUCCCAGUUCUCUGGGGGUUGACGGUAGGUGGGGAAUAAGGACCGGCUAACUACGUGCCAGCAGCCGCGGUAAUACGUAGGGUCCGAGCGUUGUCCGGAAUUAUUGGGCGUAAAGAGCUCGUAGGCGGCGUGUCACGUCUGCUGUGAAAGACCGGGGCUUAACUCCGGUUCUGCAGUGGAUACGGGCAUGCUAGAGGUAGGUAGGGGAGACUGGAAUUCCUGGUGUAGCGGUGAAAUGCGCAGAUAUCAGGAGGAACACCGGUGGCGAAGGCGGGUCUCUGGGCCUUACCUGACGCUGAGGAGCGAAAGCAUGGGGAGCGAACAGGAUUAGAUACCCUGGUAGUCCAUGCCGUAAACGUUGGGCGCUAGGUGUGGGGACUUUCCACGGUUUCCGCGCCGCAGCUAACGCAUUAAGCGCCCCGCCUGGGGAGUACGGCCGCAAGGCUAAAACUCAAAGGAAUUGACGGGGGCCCGCACAAGCGGCGGAGCAUGUUGCUUAAUUCGACGCAACGC
rnacentral:rRNA from 1 species